rnacentral:pre_miRNA from 1 species
CUAGUACUCCCUCCGUCCCAAAAUAAGUGACUCAAGUUUGUACUAAAGCUAGUACAAAGUUGAGUCACUUAUUUUGGGACGGAGGGAGUAUUAA